UACGUAGGGCGCAAGCGUUAUCCGGAAUUAUUGGGCGUAAAGAGCGUGUAGGCGGCCAGGUAGGUCUGCUGUGAAAACUCGAGGCUCAACCUCGAGACGUCGGCGGAAACCAUCUGGCUAGAGUCCGGAAGAGGAGAGUGGAAUUCCUGGUGUAGCGGUGAAAUGCGCAGAUAUCAGGAAGAACACCCGUGGCGAAGGCGGCUCUCUGGGCCGCAACUGACGCUGAGGAGCGAAAGCAUGGGGAGCGAACAGG
rnacentral:rRNA from 1 species